rnacentral:rRNA from 1 species
AAAGAUGAAUCAAAGAAGGUAAUAAUCCUGUAGUCGAAAAUGUUGUCUCUCUUGAGUGGAUCCUGAGUACGACGGAGCACGUGAAAUUCCGUCGGAAUCUGGGAGGACCAUCUCCUAAGGCUAAAUACUCUCUAGUGACCGAUAGUGAACCAGUACCGUGAGGGAAAGGUGAAAAGCACCCCGGAAGGGGAGUGAAAUAGAACCUGAAACCGUGUGCUUACAAGUAGUCAGAGCCCGUUAAUGGGUGAUGGCGUGCCUUUUGUAGAAUGAACCGGCGAGUUACGAUUUGAUGCAAGGUUAAGCAGUAAAUGUGGAGCCGUAGCGAAAGCGAGUCUGAAUAGGGCGUUUAGUAUUUGGUCGUAGACCCGAAACCAGGUGAUCUACCCUUGGUCAGGUUGAAGUUCAGGUAACACUGAAUGGAGGACCGAACCGACUUACGUUGAAAAGUGAGCGGAUGAACUGAGGGUAGCGGAGAAAUUCCAAUCGAACCUGGAGAUAGCUGGUUCUCUCCGAAAUAGCUUUAGGGCUAGCCUCAAGUGAUGAUUAUUGGAGGUAGAGCACUGUUUGGACGAGGGGCCCCUCUCGGGUUACCGAAUUCAGACAAACUCCGAAUGCCAAUUAAUUUAACUUGGGAGUCAGAACAUGGGUGAUAAGGUCCGUGUUCGAAAGGGAAACAGCCCAGACCACCAGCUAAGGUCCCAAAAUAUAUGUUAAGUGGAAAAGGAUGUGGCGUUGCCCAGACAACUAGGAUGUUGGCUUAGAAGCAGCCAUCAUUUAAAGAGUGCGUAAUAGCUCACUAGUCGAGUGACACUGCGCCGAAAAUGUACCGGGGCUAAACAUAUUACCGAAGCUGUGGAUUGUCCUUUGGACAAUGGUAGGAGAGCGUUCUAAGGGCGUUGAAGCAUGAUCGUAAGGACAUGUGGAGCGCUUAGAAGUGAGAAUGCCGGUGUGAGUAGCGAAAGACGGGUGAGAAUCCCGUCCACCGAUUGACUAAGGUUUCCAGAGGAAGGCUCGUCCGCUCUGGGUUAGUCGGGUCCUAAGCUGAGGCCGACAGGCGUAGGCGAUGGAUAACAGGUUGAUAUUCCUGUACCACCUAUAAUCGUUUUAAUCGAUGGGGGGACGCAGUAGGAUAGGCGAAGCGUGCGAUUGGAUUGCACGUCUAAGCAGUAAGGCUGAGUAUUAGGCAAAUCCGGUACUCGUUAAGGCUGAGCUGUGAUGGGGAGAAGACAUUGUGUCUUCGAGUCGUUGAUUUCACACUGCCGAGAAAAGCCUCUAGAUAGAAAAUAGGUGCCCGUACCGCAAACCGACACAGGUAGUCAAGAUGAGAAUUCUAAGGUGAGCGAGCGAACUCUCGUUAAGGAACUCGGCAAAAUGACCCCGUAACUUCGGGAGAAGGGGUGCUCUUUAGGGUUAACGCCCAGAAGAGCCGCAGUGAAUAGGCCCAAGCGACUGUUUAUCAAAAACACAGGUCUCUGCUAAACCGUAAGGUGAUGUAUAGGGGCUGACGCCUGCCCGGUGCUGGAAGGUUAAGAGGAGUGGUUAGCUUCUGCGAAGCUACGAAUCGAAGCCCCAGUAAACGGCGGCCGUAACUAUAACGGUCCUAAGGUAGCGAAAUUCCUUGUCGGGUAAGUUCCGACCCGCACGAAAGGCGUAACGAUUUGGGCACUGUCUCAACGAGAGACUCGGUGAAAUCAUAGUACCUGUGAAGAUGCAGGUUACCCGCGACAGGACGGAAAGACCCCGUGGAGCUUUACUGUAGCCUGAUAUUGAAAUUCGGCACAGCUUGUACAGGAUAGGUAGGAGCCUUUGAAACGUGAGCGCUAGCUUACGUGGAGGCGCUGGUGGG